rnacentral:lncRNA from 1 species
CUUAAUUCUACACCCACCCACCUCCGAUUAAUAAAAAGAUCUCUCACCUCAGUUGACGAUAGGUCAACUCUCCGAUGCACUGGGGAGGGACGUCCAGCCCCUGUUGCCAGCACCCCCCCAAAAAACACCUCUGGGCUCCCAAUUCUUGCUGCUUCCCCCUCCCCCAACAGCAAGGGACCCAGGCGUCCGACCUGGUUGAGACGGGAUGGAGAUGAGGAGGCGUAUGAAGAAUGGGGGUGUAGAGUGAGGGGGAGGGGAGCCGGGGGUAGCUCGGAGCUUGGGCGGUCAGGAUAUGAGGGUCGGGAUUUAAAAAAAAAAAAAAAAAAAAAAAAAGGUGAGGAGACAAUUUGGUUUUCGUGUCGCUGGGUAAAGUGCGGAGCUGGAAGAGAGAAGGAGGGAGGAGGGAGGGAGGGGGAGGGGAGCUGCUGAGGGAUGGGGGAGCCUCCGAGAGGAGAGGGAUUGGGGGGAAGGGAAGUGGUCGGGGAGCAGGGUCUGAGUGGCAGAAGGAAGCUGAGGAAGAAGAGAAACAGAUCCAGAGAGGGAGGGAGAUGAAGAGAGACAAGGAGAAUCGGAAAAACAGAGAGAUCCAGAGACUGAGAACAGAGGAGGAUGUCGUUCGGUUCUCAUCAAGACAAGAAUCAGGCUGGGGAACAAAGAGGAUAGAUAAACGCAUUCAGGACUGGGCUGGAGAACUAGGCAACAGUUGUGAACAUAGCUGUCACUUCUAAAACUAACCAGUGAGUAUGGGAUGGGCCAAUUUCAGGUAGGGAAAAAAAAAAAAAAACAGACGAUUUUAACUUUGUUCUUGGUCUGAGUUUCAGGAAUGUCUCCUGGCUUCUGGGUGACCUUGGACCAAACAUUUCCUGUCCUUCUAAACUCAGCCAUUCUGGGGACCAGAGUUGCCUUGAGACAAAAUGAUAACAGCCUGGAAAGUCGCCUCACUUUUUUUUUAAAGGACGAUGUAAAUUGAGCCAGGAGUAGUGGUGCACAUUUUUGAUCCCAGGGAGGUAGAGAUAGGAGCAUCAGAGUUCAAGGUUGUCCUUGGUUACAUAGGGAGUUUGAGGUCAGCCUGAGCUACAUGGGCAUGGGGGGAGGGGGGAGGGAAAACGACACCAUAAAAAAAUCUUAAGAACUAGCCAAGGUUUGUCUCUCUUGGGCUAGACAGCCCACAAACCACUUUAUCUCAGGAAAUUCUUACAAAGUAUCUGUGAAAUGGGCAGGCUGAGACUCUGAGAUGUGAAGCCAUUCACCCAAGAUCACCCAGGGGAUACGAGGCAGAGCUGAGUUGAAGCAGCUUUUUUGUGGAGAAAGACCAGCAAUGGGUGAGUUUCAGAGACUUUUUUUUAAUGUGUGUGUGUGUGUGUGUGUGUGUGAGAGAGAGAGAGAGAGAGAGAGAGAGAGAGAGAGAGAGAUUGAGGAAGUAUUCGUGCCACGGCAAGCCCCUGAAGGUCACAAGAUAACUUGCAAGAGUUGGUUCUCUCCUUCUGCCAUAUGGGUCCUGCAGACAAACCUCAGGUCAUCAAGCUUGCAUGGCAAACGCUUAUAUGGGCCAAGCUAUCUCGCUGACUCCGAGAAUCAUUUAAACAUACCUUUACCAGGCAGUCCUCUGUCCUGGGAGUUACAGAGGACAACCUAGGCUCCUCUCUACAUCAUUGCCUGGAUAUAUUUUCUAUUUCUUUGUAUCUAGUUUCUCAAAAAUUGCACUAGUCUCUUUCUUUUUUCCCUCCUUGUUUGUUUGUUUUGUUGUUUCUUUUUAUUUUAUUUUAUUUUAUUUUAUUUUAUUUUAUUUGGGUCAGCAUCUCAGUUUGUAGCCCAGGAUGACCCAGGACUCAUUCUAUAGCCCAGACUGGGCAAUCUUCCUGUCUCAGUUUGGACAGGUUUGUAUCAGGACACGGGUUUUUUUCAUGAGAACUGCUUUAUCUCAGUUCAUUUCAUCCCCACCAUGCCCCUGAGGGGCUGGAUUAUGAGAAACAUCCUAACACCUCUGGCUUAGAAGCAAAUAAAAACAACUCUUAAGGGAAGGAAGGGGGCCUGGAAUCCACUUGUCGGCUCUGGUGUGCGCAUCAUCUUUUCCCAGGGAGAGGACUAUAGCAGACUCCACCAUGACAACCGAUAUAAACUGAGCUUUUACUUUACAGACUCAGCGCCUUGUAAGCAUCCUGUCUUGGAGAGAAGCAGUUCAGAGGUUAGCCCUGUACUGUUUUAUUUUAAUGACUUAUUUCUCUGCUUGUUGUAUAUAUGUAUGGACACAUCUUUGCAUAUGUGUACAGGUGCGUGCGUGCGUGUGUGCGUGCGUGCGUGCGUGCGUGUGUGUGUGCGUGCGUGCGUGCGUGCGCGUGCGUGUGUGCGUGCGUGCGUGCGUGUGUGUGUGUGUGUGCGUGCGUGCGUGCGUGUGUGCGUGCGUGCGUGUGUGUGUGUGUAACGGAAGUCCGCGUCGCUAUCUUCUUCAUGCUCUCCAUCUUAUAUCUUGGGACAGGGUCUCUCACUGAGAUUGAGGAGUCUGUUAGACUGGUCAGGCAGCAGAACUCAGGCUGUUUCUGUUCCUCUUCCCUUCUCCUGAGAUUAUGGGCUCUGCCACACUCAGAUGCUUCCAUAGGUGCAGGGAAUUUAAACUCAGAUCUUCACGCCUUUGCUGCAAGCCUCUCACUGGCUGAGCCACCUGUACAACUUCUAGUUAUUUGUUUUUAUUUUAAAGACAGGUUCUCUUGUGUCGCAGGCUGGCCAGGAAUUCACUGUGCAGUCAAAGAUGACCCUGAACUUCUGAUCUUCUUGUCUCUAUCUCCUGAACUUUGGGAUUAUGGGUGUACAAUACCAUACUUAGUUUUGUUGUUGUUGUUGUUGUUGUUGUUUUCGAGACAGGGUUUCUCUGUGUAGCCCUGUCUGUCCUGGAACUCACUCUGUAGAUUAGGCUGGCCUUGAACUCAGAAAUCCGCCUGCCUCUGCCUCCUGAGUGCUGGGAUUAAAGGUGUGCGCCACCAACACCCGGCACCAUACUUAGCUUUAAGUUGCUUAAUUCAUUUCAUUGUAUUUCUUUUUCUGUGCAAUUAUAGGAAAUAGGAGGAGUAUGCAUGCCAUGAUAUUUAUGUGCAUACCAGAGGACAGUCAGUGAGAAUUGGUUCUCUCCACAAUAUAGGUCCCAGAAAGGGAACUCAUCACAUCAGGCCUGGUGCAAGUACCUUUUAUCCAAUAAGCUAUUGGGGGCGGGGGGGGAUGUCUUAUUAUGUAGACUAGAUUGGCUUUAAACUUCUAUCAGCUUCCCUUCCUGAGCCUCUCAAGUGCUGGGAUUUCAGGCAUGCAUCAUCAUGUCUAGUUUAGCUCUCAUUUUAUAGACAUAAAAACUGAAGGUGAGAAAGAGAAGCAUGACACAUAGCUAGGAAUCGACGUCAGCUGACGUCAACAUUGGGUAUCACAUAGUGAAGUCACGCCAGGGUUUCCCAGCCUUGCUGUGACUGACAUCCACACCAGGUGUGACUUUCUUGAGGGAUGUAUUUCACAUUGUGGGAGACUGAGCAGCAACCCUGGCUGGCACCCACUAAAAUUGGCAACCUCUCUCUAGUUCUGGUAACCAGAGUAUUCCUUCAGACACUGCCCAGAGUCCCUUUCAAGAUAAAAAUCAGCCACAGUUGAGAAAUAGCAACAUAAAAUAGCCACUGGAGGUAGGGGAUGCCAGCUUUAUUUUUAUUUUAAAUUAAAAUCAAUUUCCUAAAUAACUCAACAUUGCUAGUAACUACUUUUUAGAGUUAAAAAGAACUAAAUAGUACAUGAGGGAUUUUAAGAAAAACAGUUUGCCAAUUCUACUCCAAGUCCUGUUCCUUGUGAGAAGGAGCUGCUAGUGGGGAUUUUGUUGUUGUUGUUUUAGGGUUCUAUAGUUUAUUUUAUACACAUGAGUGUUUGGCUUGCAUCUAUGUAUGCACACCACAUGUGUGCCUGGUGCUGGAUGAGGUCAGAAGAGGGAGUCUGACCUUUGGGAUUUGAGUUACAGAUGGUUGUGAGUCACUGUUUGGAGGCUGGGAGUUGAACCUGGAUGCAGAAGCAACAAUCACUUUAAACCCCGAGCCAUUUCUCCAACCCCACUGUGUGUGUGUGUGUGUGUGUGUGUGUGUGUGUGUGUGUGUGUGCGCGCCUACGUGCACAUGCCAGUGCAGGUGUGAACAACAAAAAAAGGGUGUUGGUGCUAUCUAUCACUUUCUGUCUGUUCCUUCGAGGCAGGGUCUCUCCCUGUGCCUGGACUGUGGCUUAUGGUUUCUCUGGAAGCAAAGCUUUUAGAGCCCCUCCAGUCUCUACUCAUCUUGGAACUGAGAUUGCAGAAGUUUCAGGACACCCACCUUGUUGAGUGAGAGCUGGGACAUAGCUGUGACGGUUAGAAUUGUGCAGCAAGUGCUCUUGAAAGCACAGGACUGUCUCUCUGUCACUGUUUUAAAUCACAUCUUCUCCUGGGGCCUGGGGCUGUAGCACUCACCUUCCCUCCCAGCCCUCAGAAGGCAGAGGACAGAUCUGGGUGUGAGAAAUCCAGGUCAGCCAGGACUACAUA